GAAUGUUGAACUUGCUCGUGAUCUCCUGAUUUAUGAUCUUGUGAGGUUUUAGUAUAUGAAAAACCCGUGCCAACCGGUAAAUCUAGAUAUAUUAUACUGGAGUUCUUUUGAUCAUAUUCAGCAUGAUUAAACAUAAUUAGUCGUAUAUAAAAUUAAAGUAGUGAAUUUAUUUCAUUAGGAACACAGGCAACUUAUAUAAGAAAAAAAAUGAAAGAAAGUGCAGAAAACAUAUAGUAAUAAACGUUGACCUGAGUCCAUGAGUAUGGGUUUAUGAGUACUUGAGGUAGGCUUCCCUCCUUUAGCUCUCCCUCAAAAUUGAUUGGACCUUUACAUAAACAAAUUAGAGAUCAAUAAUCACACAAUUAAACUUAUAAUUUUGGGCAUACCAUAUGUUUGUUUAAAAUCAAUUUUGGCAUUUUUAGAAGUUAUAAAGUAAAAUAUGUUGAUUUAAGAAUUUGUGUAAGAAGUCUUCUAACUUUACAAGAAUGCACGAAAUACAUAUAAAUAAAAUGAAGAAGGGAAGGAGAGAAAGUGAAGAUAGAGGUAAUUAAAUAGGAAAAAAAUUUACCACUCUCAAAAGCGAGACCAGAGAGAGAAGAGCAACGAGGGCCUCCGGUAAGCCACAGAAUGAGAGGAUCCGUUUUGGGAUUUGAAUAUGUUUUUACAAAGUAAUAAAACAAUUGAAACUCCUCCCGAUCUCCAACUCCUACGUAUCUGUUAAUUUGUUGAUCAACAUUAUUAGUUACCAAUUUCAAUCUUCUCCAAUAAAAUAAAAUAAUGAAUGUAUAUAUAAAACGAACCCUGUUUCCAGCGAGAAAGGAAGGUCCCCUGAGAAUCCGGGCAAAGAGUUCACCGUCCAGUGAGCAUAAGCGGAGGCAGAGAAUAGUGGAUGAAGAUGAAGAAGAAUGGAAAGAGAGAGGCGGAAGGAAAGAACCAUUGGGUCCAGGUGGUUAGUGGUGAGGGGAGAAAUCAUAAAUGGAACCAAUUAAACCAAUUGAUUAGGAUUUUUUUUUGUUCUUGUUGCACUCCUAUCUCUAAUUGACUUGUAAUUAUUGAAAUGUGACAAAGAAAGAGAAAAAACAAGGUGGAUGUAGGUAAGGUAUCGACAAAAUUUGCUCACCUCUUCCUAAUAAAUAAGUCUUCCUUUUCAACUGUAAUAAUAAUAAAAGAGAAUAGUAUUAUUUUGGAAUAACAUUAUUUUGAUAAUAAACUUUAAAAACGACAAUAUUUUAAUAAAACUAUGUUUAUUAUUUUGCAUCCUCCUGUAUUUAUUAAUUAUCUUGUAUAUGUUGUAUUAAUUAAUUAUCUUGAAUCAUACGCUAAUUGAUCAUCUUGUACAUUUUGCAUAUUGCUUAUAUUAUCCCUGUAUUUAUUUUAUCUCAGCAUAUUACCUUCAAGUAUUUUUUAAAUUUUAUAAUGUUUUAUCAUUGCUAUUAUUCAUUUUUCAAUUUAAAUAUAAAAAUGUAAAUUGGAGAAAAAGUAUUGUUUUUUUAUGGAUUUUAUAAUUUAAAUUCGAUUGAUACAUGAAAUUUCGUUUGAAAUUUAAUUAAUAGAUUGCUUUUAAUUUAACUAAUGUUAUUUAAUUAAUUUAAUUUAAAGAAAACAAUAAAUAAUAAAAAAAGAACGAAAGAAAAUCGGAAGUUUAUAAUAAAUAAUGAUUUAAUUUGCUAAUUUGCUAAUUUGCUAAUUUGCUAAUUUUCUAAUAAAAGAAAUACCAAUUUUUUUCUGCAACUUAAAUAGUUUUAAGUUUUAGAAUUCUAUUUUGUAAUUUUUUUUAUCCACUACUAUAAAAAGAAGUUUGAUCUAUCAUUUUUUUUUCACUUAACACUUUCACCAAAUAAUUCUCUAAUAUUUCAUAUUCACUUUGCUUUUUUCUACUUUUACUCUUUCACUUCCUUUAUCUCCACACGCGAGAAGAUAUUAAGUCAUCAAACUUGCAUAUUUGUUGUAAGCUCCAUGUUGCGGCAAAUAUUGAAUUGUAAUAUUUAUAUAUCUUCAAAAAUGUAUUUAAUCUCAAACACUCAUAAAAAAAAAUAUUUUCAUAUUAUCAUAUAUUUUAAUUUAUAUAAAUUUUAUUUUAAUUAUUUCUUUUUGUUGUUGUUUGAUGUUUAAUAAUUUUAUUUGUUAUGUAUUUUUUUAUUUUAAAAAUUAAUAAAAAGAUACCCUUUCUCCUCUCAAACAUAGAAAAUAGAUAUUGAUUUUCUUAUUUUAUAUUAUACAAGUUAAAUUAAGAGACAUUUUUUAAAAUAGUAAAAUCAAUUAAAAUAUUUACGAGGUAUAACAAAAUUUUUGGAUUUGAUCAAUGAUAGCCAUUAAUAUCAUUCUAUCAUUCAUUUCUCUCUUAUGGCUAUAUAUAAAUAUAUGUUAUUGAUAGAAUCUGAAAAUUUUGGUGUAUGUUGUUAUGACUAUUUUUGACAAUUUCUCAUAUAUUAAUAUAUUAUUAGAGAUUUAACUAAGAAUGUACAUAAAAAAUGGUAAAUUUGAUUCAUUUAACAAUGAGUGUAAGUUGAGUAAAAAUAAAUAAAAUGAAGAGUUUUAUCAAAUGAGAAAUCAGAAAUGGAAGGAAAGGAUGAGUUUAGAUUAGAUCCAUUUAUGGGUUUAUAGGAUUUUUGUUGCACUCCUAUCUCUACCACUGCUAGAGAUAAUAAUCUGCUUAUCUUUGAUUCACUUCUAACUAUUGAAAUGUAACAAAGAAAGAGAGAAAAAAAAAAACUACAACUGGGUAAUGUAUGGACAAAAAUUGCUCCACCUCUUUCUAAUAAAUAAACAUUGCUUUCAGGUGUAUAUAUACAUUAUUAAAAAAGUCCAAACCAUAAAACCACACCAACUAUUGAGUUACAUUUUCCAAGUUUUUAGUUUAGAAAAUAAUUUAUUUAAAAAAAGUUAAAGCGCUUUUGGGAGACAUUAAAUAAUUUUUAGAAAAUAUAGUUUUAAAAAAUAAAUUUCUUUAAAAAUACUUUUUUCUUAAUUCAAAUUAAAACAUAACCUAAAUUAAAUUGAAAAUAAGAAUUUAUUUUUAAAAAAUAAAAGAAAGAACAUGCGAUCAAGGGAUCCACAAUUUAAAAACAUGGUAGGGCCUCCUCUCCUCUCCUCUCCUCGUCCUCUUAGGUAGAAAAUUUAUGAUUGAUUUAAUAUGUACUAUGAACAAAGUACAGAGCACGUUUUAAUGUGAAUUAUUGGAACUUUUGGUAAAGGCGAUACAAAAAUGAAGAUGAGAUUUAAGUGGGUUCCGCCAAAGAAGAAGCCUACGUUCACUGUGAAAUCGGCCAUUGAAUGAGUUCAACCAGUUCAAUCAUUUUAUUAAUAUGAUAAAUAUGAAGAUUUGUUAUUUAUCUAUUUAAUUAAUACGAUAAAUAUAAAAAGAUAUAAUUCAAUUAUAGAAAGCCACAUCUUUAACGACGGAAUUUUAAAGGUAGGAAUCAAAGUAAAUAUGUUUUAAAAAUUCAGAUACUAAGAGAAGUAAUUUAAGAACUUUAGGAACAAAAUUGGUAUUUUAACAAUAAAUAAAUAAAUUGUGGUAUCCAAGACAUUAAUGGGAGUUGUUGAAGCCAAAAUAAAUAAUGAAGAGAGACUUUUUUUUUCUUUAAGUAAAAUAACGUAUGGUUGGAAAUUUGUAUUAAUUUUAUAUCGUUUUUAAAAUUAUUUGGAUGACAUCUAAAAUUGUCAUUCAAACAAAUUAACCAUAAUUAAGAACCACAAACAUAGAUAUUGAAACUUCCUUCCUCAAACUUAUUAAACACACAAACCAAUAUUAGUGUUUAAAUGUGUAAUAUCCAAAAGUUGAACAAUUAAAUAGAAAUAAAUAUUAUGGCAUAGAAGUUCAUAACCAUUCUCCCACUAUCCAUCUCUUAAAAACUAUGCUGGAUUCUUCUCGUAAAUAUUCUGGUGUAUGUCCUCCACCCUUAAAAAAAUUAUGAAAAAAAUAGCAAACAAAUCUGUCAAUUGUUAUACAACUAAUUGCUAAAAUCAUUUUUCUACUUCUUCAAAAUCAAGAUUCAAAAAAGUUUCGAAACAAAUAUUUUUCUUACUUUGACUGUUACAAAUGUCAUAUUAUUUGCAAAACUUCUGGUGUAUCUGCACAAACAAAAAUUGCUACUAAGUUUUCUUAAAGAUUAACGAUCAUACAUUGUAAUACAAAUAACAAUUACCCGCCAACUUCAUCCUCGAUGAACCAAGGCCUCCAAUCAUCUACUAUAGAAUAAUUUAAAGCUUUAAUCCAUGCAUGAGUUUCCAUAUGCGGCACUACCAUAUCAUGAUCUCCACUAUAUUCAAAACCACCGUAUUAAGCAAUUAAUCAAUGAGGCAUCAAUUAUUACAACAAGUCAUUUAACAUUCAAUUAUAUAUCACCUAUAGAUUAAUGAUCGAUAGCCUUUAGAACUAAGGUUCACGUGAUAAGGAAAAACACUGGUCAUCUCAAAAUUGUAAUAUUCUUUUCCACGACAUCUAAUCCAUUCUCCAAUGCUUCCCUAAACAAAAUCAAAUAAUUAUUUUUGGUACUCUUUCUUUCUAAAAUAAUUUAACCAUUCUCUUGAAAUAUUUUGUUACUGUACCUCAUGUAUAUGAAGUGCUUUUUGAACUUCGUCAUUGUUGGCCCAAUAGUAGGCAAGUAUGGCAUCAUGUUCCUGUAUAAACCAAUUGAUUCAUCAUAUAUGUGAAUUUUCUCAUCAAAAGGAAUAAGUUGUCUUAAUCAUUAUAUGAGGGAACUAUUGUGUUUAGUUAUUUCAUAAGGUAAUAUAAUUAACAUAUAUUAUGAUAAGGCGAAGAGAAAUUACACGACAUCUUUGGCCUACAAAAAUGCUGUUGAUCAGAGAUCUUCUUUGUCCAGACUUUGUUUGUGGUUCUUUUAAAGAUGAACAUUUGGACCAUAAAAUACACGAGUCUCUAACUACAGAAGUACACUUAGAAAAAAAAUACAAAUUGGAUAGAACAAUUAAUAUUUGAAAAAAAAAAACUAAGUGAAGGUUAAAAUAAUAAAUAGUUAUCGUAGAUAAUUUGUAAAAAUUACCUUUGUAAAUGUAUCAUAAUGUUUUAAGCACUCCACGUUGUUAGGAUCAAUGUUUACAUAUUCUCCUUGACAACUAGCUUCCAACGACUGUAAAUGAGGAAUUAAUUGAAGGUGAAAUCAUUUCUUUUUUGUUGCCUCUAUUUUCAUUUUGGUGUGUAUUUUUUCUUUAAUAUAUUUCAUUUGUUCACCUGAUACAAUUCAUCUGAGAUGAGGGCCAUAUUAUGAGCAAAUGGAAUUUGACAAUUUUCAUUUGCAUGAGGAAUAGUGAUGGGAUUCCCCAAUAUGUAUCCCUAACAUGAUAAGAAAAGGUACCACUUAGUAUGCUCUAACUUAGUAAAUAGUAAAUAGUAAGUAGCAAAGAUGAGAAUACGUAUGGAUGGAAUCACUUGCCUGGAAAUUUAUAAAUGAAAAAAUGUGUUUGUAAGUUCCUAUUACCCAAAUGAAUUAGGAAUGUAAAUAGCAAUUUAUCUAAUAACUCUAUCAUUACUUUUAUCAACAAAAACAAGAUUAUAUACCUUCUAAAAUUGCUAAAGCAACCAUUGGAACAAUCAUACCCGAAUAAGAAUUUCCAGAAAUAUAAAAUGGAUUUGAUAUAAAUUCUGGAUGAUCAUCGAACCACUGCAAAUUCCAAUUCAUUAAGAUUUUUAUUACUUAUGUAAAGAAAUAGCAAGAAAAAGAAGAACAUAUGUAUACCUUUUUCAAGAAUUGAAGAGAAUGUUGAACUUGUUCGUGAUCUCCUGAUAUAUGAUCUUUUGAGGUUUUGGCAUACGAAAAACCCGUGCCAACGGGUAAAUCUAGAUAUAGUAUACUGGUGUUCUAUUGAUCAUAUACACGAUAUAGGAUUAAACAUAAUUAGUCAUAUAGAAUUAAAGUAAUAAAUUUAGUUGAUUACGAACACACAAACAUAUAUAAGAAUGAAAUAAAGUGGAGAAAAUAUAUAAUAACAAAU
rnacentral:lncRNA from 1 species